CGGCCAUCUUGGAUGAUGGAUCGGCUACAAAGUAACAACACUUGGUCAGCACCUCAUAAGGAACAUUCAUGCCAUGUUUGGUUUCAUUCCAUUCAGUGGUUCUCUAGAAGAAGUCAUUUGUAUGCAUUUCCCAUAGGGUCCUAUGUUAAAAUAAGUCCCCCGCUGGCUGCCAUCUUGGAUGAUGGAUCGGCUACAAAGUAACAACACUUGGUCAGCACCUCAUAAGGAACAUUCAUGCCAUGUUUGGUUUCAUUCCAUUCAGUGGUUCUCUAGAAGAAGUCAUUUGUAUGCAUUUCCCAUAGGGUCCUAUGUUAAACUAAGUCCCCCGCUGGCUGCCAUCUUGGAUGAUGGAUCGGCUACAAAGUAACAACACUUGGUCAGCAACUCAU
rnacentral:lncRNA from 1 species